CUCAAGAUACAAUGUUUAACUUAAAAACCAAACAUCACUAUAAAUAAAUUUCCAAGUCUAAUAGAUUGAUCUCACUAAAUAUAAAGGAAAAAAAAAAAAAAAAAGCUGGUACUAAAGAAAUCAUAAUUAGAUGGCCAAAGUACUCAAUGUCGUCAUAUUAAUCCUACUCGUAUUCAUGAUAACUGAGAGCAACGCAGCAGCAUCAGCAUGUCUCAGUUUCAUAGGUGAAGGGCCACCAGUUACGACACUAGCUCCAUGUGUAAACGACGCAUGUAAAACCACAUGUGAAAGCGUCUAUCCAACGUCUUGCUCUGGACGCUGCGAGAGUCAUCAGGGCGGCGUCCAUUGUCACUGUUAUGGUCCAUGAUCAUGACUUGAGAUAACAAAAUAAUUAGGAAUACGAAUAAUCAAAUGUGUAACGAUACAAAAUAAGGAAUGAGAAUAUUCAAUAUAAUAUAUAUAUAUAUAUAUAUUCAUUUUGUUUGCUCCUUUGUAAUUUAUAGUUAAAUUUGAAUUUGUAUAAUGUCUAUCUUUCUUAAUUAUUCUGUAAAGCCAAUCUGAAUCGAAAAAAUAAUAUGAUCAUUUUUACCA